rnacentral:lncRNA from 1 species
AUCGUAUAUGUAGAUUCGUAUAUAUAAAUUUAAGUAGAUUCAAAAAUAUCAUUUUUUUCAACAUAUUUUCAUUUUCAUAUUUUAAAACAUAUUUUCUUUACGAAAUCUAUAAAACGAAUUUACAAAUUCAUGUAAGAAGAAAACAUACGAACCCGGCGCGUAGCGCCGGAAUACCACUAGUAUAUAUAUAUAAGAAGUUCGUGAUCUUUUACAGAAUAAAAAGUAGCUGAUGAUUUUUUUUUUUUUUUUUUUUUUUUUGAUGAAAUUUGAAAUUUAUUGAUCAAAAUAUGAAC